UGUGUCCAGGCGGUGACGGGUGGAGACGGGAAGAUGGGGGCCAAGGGGGGCCCGGGAACCUCGGCACAGACAACAGCCUCUCCCUGGGCUCUCUCCUCCUGAAUUCUGCAGGAUCCGUGAGGAGUGAGGCUAGAGCAGGGCUCCCAACACCAUACCCAACUGGGCUGCCGCACACGCGGAAGAGUCAGGAAUCGGUAGCCUCCCGGGUGGACACUGCUCUCCCCACAGCAGCCCCAUCUCCCUUCCCCGAGUCUGGUGAACCCAAAUAGGUUUCAGAGCCACCAGCUGUGCCCGUAACUGGAACAGAGUGGAGACCAGUUAACCCGUGGAAGUCAGGAUCGGCGCCGACAUUCACUCGAGACAGAAGGUGAAGAAAAAUCAUCUUCAAAGCAAGAGAAGCAAAAAUAUGCAGAGCCAAAUACUGCAAGGGCCAAUAAUCCAACAGCUUCCUCUGUGAAGUUAAAAUUUCCACCCAGGGGAGCUACUGCAUAUCUAAUCUCCAAGUUCCUAUUAAAGUCUGAGAGGGAGGAAGAGGAAGGAAGAAGAGAGCUAAGGCAACACCGAGAAGGAAGAAAAACACACGGAGGACCGGGCCUUCCAAGCUGGGCUGAGCCUCUGGUUUCUGGAAAGAGCUCCGUACUCCCUAGGCGGUGUUACAGGAGACGGGGUGAGUUGAGUGGCCCUGGCUUUGUUUUUAUAUCAUAAAAUCUCAUCUUCAUAAGCUGUAAAAUCUCAGAAUUAAAACGGAAUCUGUCUCA